AGUUCUCCAUAGUAGCUCAGUGGCAGAGCAUCUACUUUGCAUGCAAAAGGUCCCAGGUUCAAUCUCGAGGUAGACUG